CGUAGGGUGCGAGCGUUAAUCGGAAUUACUGGGCGUAAAGCGUGCGCAGGCGGUUGUGUAAGACAGGCGUGAAAUCCCCGGGCUCAACCUGGGAACUGCGCUUGUGACUGCACGGCUAGAGUACGGCAGAGGGGGGUGGAAUUCCACGUGUAGCAGUGAAAUGCGUAAAGAUGUGGAGGAACACCAAUGGCGAAGGCAGCCCCCUGGGUCGAUACUGACGCUCAUGCACGAAAGCGUGGGUAGCAAACAGGAUUAGAUACCCUGGUAGUCCACGCCCUAAACGAUGUCAACUAGGUGUUGGGAGGGUAAAACCUUUUAGUACCGGAGCUAACGCGUGAAGUUGACCGCCUGGGGAGUACGGCCGCAAGGUUA
rnacentral:rRNA from 1 species